rnacentral:rRNA from 1 species
AGUGAACGCUGGCGGUAGGCCUAACACAUGCAAGUCGAACGGCAGCACAGUAAGAGCUUGCUCUUACGGGUGGCGAGUGGCGGACGGGUGAGGAAUACAUCGGAAUCUACUUUUUCGUGGGGGAUAACGUAGGGAAACUUACGCUAAUACCGCAUACGACCUACGGGUGAAAGCGGGGGAUCUUCGGACCUUGCGCGAUUGAAUGAGCCGAUGUCGGAUUAGCUAGUUGGCGGGGUAAAGGCCCACCAAGGCGACGAUCCGUAGCUGGUCUGAGAGGAUGAUCAGCCACACUGGAACUGAGACACGGUCCAGACUCCUACGGGAGGCAGCAGUGGGGAAUAUUGGACAAUGGGCGCAAGCCUGAUCCAGCCAUACCGCGUGGGUGAGGAAGGCCUUCGGGUUGUAAAGCCCUUUUGUUGGGAAAGAAAAGCAGCAGGUUAAUACCCCGCUGUUCUGACGGUACCCAAAGAAUAAGCACCGGCUAACUUCGUG